AUGAACAUGAGGGCUCCUGCUCAGCUCCUGGGCCUCCUGCUGCUCUGGUUCCCAGGUGCCAGCUGUGCUGUUCAGAUCACCCAGUCACCAUCCGUGGUGUCUGCACCUGUGGGAGGCACAGUCACCAUCAACUGCCAGUCAAGUCAGAGUGUUUACGAGAACAAGUAUCUAUCCUGGUUUCAGCAGAAGCCAGGGCAACGUCCAAAGCUCCUGAUCUAUCAUGCAUCUAGUUUAGCCUCUGGGGUCCCCUCGAGGUUCAAGGGCAGUGGAUCUGGGAAAUCAUUCACUCUCACCAUCAGCCCGGUGCAGGCUGACGAUGCAGGAACCUACUACUGUGCUGGAGAGUAUGAUGAUAUCAGUGAUACCACAGUGAUACAAGCCUGA